GCUUGUUCUCAUGACGUCAUCAUAAUGUUGACAACAAUUAAUACUGGGCGUUCUCGUCUGCUUAUUAUUAUUAUGUAAAUUUACAAGUAGGCAGGACCCAAUAUGCUAUUGUCUAUCAAUGUUUACUUAAUCCUACAUUGCUUACUUUGCUUCGCCAGCGUUUGGAAUUUCCCAUGGAACAGGCUACUUGUGGAACAAAUGAACGAUCACAUGACUUUUGUUUCAACUCUUUUUUCUUCUUCUCUUUUCCCACAAAGUCCCGCACCUACGCGACAUGUGAUUCUUCAACGGUAAAUUUUCGUAAUACUUGAUGCAGAAUCAAAAUUAAUUAAGAUCUUUGUUAUGAUUCGGAAAUGGACUCAAAAUUUCAAGUAAAUAUCCUCUUUGAAUUACUUUACAUAGUUUAACACUAAGUUUUGUCGUACUUCUAAGGUGGGCCGCCUGUGAUUGGGUCACCAUUCUUUUGGGGAAAUUUAUUUUCCCCUCUGGCCUCUCUUAUACUUUAUGACCAGUCCCUUGUGGACAAGAUAUUUAUUUCAAUGUAAUCGGCUGUAGUGGCGAAAAUUCACUUUUUCCGGGGGGCGAAGCUUUCUAAAUUUCUGACAAAACUUUCAAAUUUCUGAC